GGCAGUGUAGCACAGUGGGUAAGGAACUGGGUUUGAAACCGAAAGGUCAGAGGUUCGAUUCCUGGAUGGGACACUGCCG
rnacentral:tRNA from 1 species